CCCUAGUAACGGCGAGUGAAGCGGCAACAGCUCAAAUUUGAAAUCUGGCGCAAGCCCGAGUUGUAAUUUGUAGAGGAUGUUUCUGGCGACGUACCUUCCGAGUUCCCUGGAACGGGACGCCAUAGAGGGUGAGAGCCCCGUACGGUUGGUUGCCUAGCCUUUGUGAAACUCCUUCGACGAGUCGAGUAGUUUGGGAAUGCUGCUCUAAAUGGGAGGUAUACGUCUUCUAAAGCUAAAUACCGGCCAGAGACCGAUAGCGCACAAGUAGAGUGAUCGAAAGAUGAAAAGCACUUUGAAAAGAGGGUUAAAUAGUACGUGAAAUUGUUGAAAGGGAAGCGUUUAUGACCAGACUUGGGUAGGUUGAUCAUCCGUGGUUCUCCGCGGUGCACUCUGCCUGCCUAGGCCAGCAUCAGUUCAGUUCGGGGGAUAAAGGCUUCGGGAAUGUAGCUCCCUCGGGAGUGUUAUAGACCGUUGCGUAAUACCCUGAUCUGGACUGAGGUUCGCGCACUGCAAGGAUGCUGGCGUAAUGGUCAUCAGCGACCCGUCUUGAAACACGGACCAAGGAGUCGUCUUCGUAUGCGAGUGUUCGGGUGUCAAACCCCUACGCGUAAUGAAAGUGAACGUAGGAGAGAGCUUCGGCGCAUCUCCGACCGAUCCUGAUGUUCUCGGAUGGAUU
rnacentral:rRNA from 1 species